AGAGUUUGAUCCUGGCUCAGGACGAACGCUGGCGGCGUGCUUAACACAUGCAAGUCGAACGCUGAAGCACUUUCGGGUGUGGAUGAGUGGCGUACGGGUGAGUAACACGUGGGUAAUCUGCCCUGCACUUUGGGAUAAGCCUUGGAAACGGGGUCUAAUACCGGAUAGGACAUGCCAUUGCAUGGUGGUGUGUGGAAAGC
rnacentral:rRNA from 1 species